UACAGAGGUCUCAAGCGUUGUUCGGAUUCAUUGGGCGUAAAGGGUGUGUAGGUGGCGCCGUAAGUCGGGUGUGAAAUCUCGGGGCUUAACUCCGAAACUGCAUUCGAUACUGCGGUGCUUGAGGACUGGAGAGGAGACUGGAAUUCAUGGUGUAGCAGUGAAAUGCGUAGAGAUCAUGAGGAAGACCAGUGGCGAAGGCGGGUCUCUGGACAGUUCCUGACGCUGAGGCACGAAGGUCAGGGGAGCAAGCGGG
rnacentral:rRNA from 1 species